CGGUGGCGGCGCAGGACGGGCGGACGGCGGAGGGAGGCGGCGGCCGGGGCAAGGAGGCGGCGGGCGACGAGCAAGAAGAAUUCUGUCAGUAUAGCUCAUUCCUGUAUUGGAGAACACCGUUGCCUGCCAUUGAUCUGUCUGAUAUUCAGAACCUAGAUGGAGAGACCACACCUGCAGAUAAAACUCCUUCAAGGACGGAUACCAUGGAGACUGAAAUGGAGACCUGAUCAGUUGUUUCAUAGUUGUGCAUCUACUUGCAGAAAGCUUGUUUCUGUCUGGAUUCAGUAUUUUCUGCGUGGGAGAAAAAUCAAAGUGCUUCUGUCUUUUUGAAGAAACAGUGUUAUGUUAGUCUGCAAAGGCAAGUCUGGGUUGUCUAAGUUGGUGGAAUAAUCACUGUUAGGUACUCACCAAUAAGCUGGCUGGAGACCUGAGUUUACCUAUCCUUUGUAGAGGAGGCUGUGUAUGUCCAGUGAGAAUGCCUGAAGUCAUGGCAGCCAGCUAAAGGACAGCUACAGAAUAUUAGAAAUUCUGGGUGUGAUUGUAAGAAAAAGUUGGGUAAGUUACAAAUGGAAGGGAAAUGGAAAAUCAUUUUGCUCAUCCUGAACAAAAAGUGUAACUUUGGUACCCGAAUGUGAAAUACUUAUCAUGUGAAUUUAUCAUAAAGCACACAAACAGUUGUGGUUUUUAAUGUGGGGUUUUUUUCAAUGUAAUAGUUAAGCCAAAAAAUAAAAGUCCACCAAAACCAGACAAAACAUUCCCUUUUCUAUGCAAACCAAAAAUGAGUGUGUUGGGGAUGAGAAAGGAAAAGGGGAUCUCUUCUUUGGUAAGCUGUCAGUGUUCUGAAUGUUGUUUCACAUUCUUCUUGUGAUCACUCAAAGCAGUGGCAGCUAGCUUCCAAGUUUUUGGUCCAUUCUUAAGUUAACAUUUUUCCUAUGCUUUGUGACAUACUAUUUAGUAACGUUGAAAUGACAGCUGCAUGCAGAGGUGUCAUAAAAAGUUAAUGCAAUAUAAAUUACCACAUACACUUUGUCAGACCUAACUGACUGAGGUUUAUUUUUUUCCAGAGACUAUGGAUCUGUAAAAAACUUUUUUUACAGGUGUUCGAUGAAUUAGUUCUUUUUGUUGUGAAAUAAGAAGUUACUGCUUAUCUUUUAUUUUUAUUUUUUUAAUUUAUUUACAGGUUAAAAAACAAUUAGAAAUACCUGUCUUCAAUAAUAGAUUGAAAUUUAAAGCUGUAUUGGCAGAGUGUCAGACUUUGCAAAUGUGGUUUGUCUGUAGGUAUAGCUGACACCAUAUUUUUACUGGAGUCAUCUUUGAAUAAGGAAACUUCUGUUUUUUAAUUUUAUUUUUAAUAAUGUAUUUGUUAAAAUGUCAAUAAAGUUUUGCCUGUGUGUAUUUGAAAA